rnacentral:rRNA from 1 species
AACGAACGCUGGCGGCAUGCCUAACACAUGCAAGUCGAACGAGACCUUCGGGUCUAGUGGCGCACGGGUGCGUAACGCGUGGGAACCUGCCCUUAGGUUCGGAAUAACUCCCCGAAAGGGGUGCUAAUACCGGAUAAUGUCUUCGGACCAAAGAUUUAUCGCCUUUGGAUGGGCCCGCGUUGGAUUAGCUAGUUGGUAGGGUAAAAGCCUACCAAGGCGACGAUCCAUAGCUGGUCUGAGAGGAUGAUCAGCCACACUGGGACUGAGACACGGCCCAGACUCCUACGGGAGGCAGCAGUGGGGAAUAAUGGACAAUGGGCGAAAGCCUGAUCCAGCAAUGCCGCGUGAGUGAUGAAGGCCUUAGGGUUGUAAAGCUCUUUUACCCGGGAUGAUAAUGACAGUACCGGGAGAAUAAGCGCCGGCUAACUCCGUG